UUAGCAUGGAAUAAUAAAAUAGGACUUUAGUCCUAUUUUCGUUGGUUUAGGUACUUCAGUAAUGAUGAAUAGAAACGGUUAGGGGCAUUUGUAUUUGGUCGCUAGAGGUGAAAUUCUUGGAUUGACCGAAGACAAACUACUGCGAAAGCAUUUGACCCGGGACGUUUUCAUUGAUCAAGGUCUAAAGUUAAGGGAUCGAAGACGAUUAGAUACCGUCGUAGUCUUAACCACAAACUAUGCCGACUAGAGAUUGGGCGUGUUUAUUAUGACUCGCUCAGCAUCUUAGCGAAAGUAAAGUUUUUGGGUUCUGGGGGGAGUAUGGGACGCAAGGCUGAAACUUAAAGGAAUUGACGGAAGGGCACCACCAGGAGUGGAGCCUGCGGCUUAAUUUGACUCAACACGGGGAAACUCACCAGGUCCAGACAUAGUAAGGAUUGACAGAUUGAAAGCUCUUUCUAGAUUCUAUGGGUGGUGGUGCAUGGCCGUUCUUAGUUCGUGGAGUGAUUUGUCUGGUUAAUUCCGAUAGCGAACGAGACCUUAUUCUGCUAAUUAGACAGGCUAACUCUUUCGGGUUGGUUUAUAUUUAAUAUUUAACUGGCUUCUUAGAGAGACUAUCGGCUUCAAGCCGAAGGAAGUUUUAGGCAAUAACAGGUCUGUGAUGCCCUUAGAUGUUCUGGGCCCCACGCGCGCUACACUGAUGAAGUCAGCGAGUUUAUAACCUUGGCCGGAAGGUCUGGGUAAACUUUUGAAACUUCAUCGUGCUGGGGAUAGAGCAUUGCAAU
rnacentral:rRNA from 1 species